GAUGAACGCUGGCGGCGUGCUUAACACAUGCAAGUCGAACGAUGAACCUCACUUGUGGGGGGAUUAGUGGCGAACGGGUGAGUAACACGUGAGUAACCUGCCCUUAACUCUGGGAUAAGCCUGGGAAACUGGGUCUAAUACCGGAUAUGACUCCUCAUCGCAUGGUGGGGGGUGGAAAGCUUUAUUGUGGUUUUGGAUGGACUCGCGGCCUAUCAGCUUGUUGGUGAGGUAAUGGCUCACCAAGGCGACGACGGGUAGCCGGCCUGAGAGGGUGACCGGCCACACUGGGACUGAGACACGGCCCAGACUCCUACGGGAGGCUG
rnacentral:rRNA from 1 species